rnacentral:rRNA from 1 species
AUUGAACGCUGGCGGCAGGCCUAACACAUGCAAGUCGAGCGGAUGACGGGAGCUUGCUCCUUGAUUCAGCGGCGGACGGGUGAGUAAUGCCUAGGAAUCUGCCUGGUAGUGGGGGACAACGUUUCGAAAGGAACGCUAAUACCGCAUACGUCCUACGGGAGAAAGCAGGGGACCUUCGGGCCUUGCGCUAUCAGAUGAGCCUAGGUCGGAUUAGCUAGUAGGUGAGGUAAUGGCUCACCUAGGCGACGAUCCGUAACUGGUCUGAGAGGAUGAUCAGUCACACUGGAACUGAGACACGGUCCAGACUCCUACGGGAGGCAGCAGUGGGGAAUAUUGGACAAUGGGCGAAAGCCUGAUCCAGCCAUGCCGCGUGUGUGAAGAAGGUCUUCGGAUUGUAAAGCACUUUAAGUUGGGAGGAAGGGCAGUAAGUUAAUACCUUGCUGUUUUGACGUUACCGACAGAAUAAGCACCGGCUAACUCUGUGCCAGCAGCCGCGGUAAAAC